rnacentral:rRNA from 1 species
UACAGGGGGGGCAAGCGUUGUUCGGAAUUACUGGGCGUAAAGGGCGCGUAGGCGGCCAUCUAAGUCAGACGUGAAAUCCCCCGGCUUAACCUGGGAACUGCGUCUGAUACUGGGAGGCUUGAGUAUGGGAGAGGGAUGUAGAAUUCCAGGUGUAGCGGUGAAAUGCGUAGAUAUCUGGAGGAAUACCGGUGGCGAAGGCGGCAUCCUGGACCAUUACUGACGCUGAGGCGCGAAAGCUAGGGGAGCAAACGGG